rnacentral:rRNA from 1 species
CCUACGGGUGGCAGCAGUGAGGAAUAUUGGUCAAUGGGCGCGAGCCUGAACCAGCCAAGUCGCGUGAGGGAAGACGGUCCUAUGGGUUGUAAACCUCUUUUGUCGGGGAGCAAAGCACGCCACGCGUGGCGCUUUGAGAGUACCCGAAGAAAAAGCAUCGGCUAACUCCGUGCCAGCAGCCGCGGUAAUACGGAGGAUGCGAGCGUUAUCCGGAUUUAUUGGGUUUAAAGGGUGCGCAGGCGGAAGAGCAAGUCAGCGGUAAAAUUGAGGGGCUCAACCCCGUCGAGCCGUUGAAACUGGUUUUCUUGAGUGAGCGAGAAGUAUGCGGAAUGCGUGGUGUAGCGGUGAAAUGCAUAGAUAUCACGAAGAACUCCGAUUGCGAAGGCAGCAUACCGGAGCGGAACUGACGCUGAUGCACGAAAGUGCGGGUAUCGAACAGGAUUAGAUACCCGUGUAGUC